rnacentral:rRNA from 1 species
AUGUCGCAAAUACUACCUUCAAAUUCUGAGAAUAUUCCACCAAGUAAAGAAGCCAAUAUUAAUGACCAAAUUGGUGAGUUUACAUUUGAAGGAACAUCAUCCUCUUCAAUAUGGGGGAGGAUUUCUUCUGCUAUGGUGGAAGCUUGUGAAAAAAAUGUAAAAGGAACAUGGGCAUCUGGUAUUCUCAUGCACACACAACAGCGAAAAUCAUUUAUUAAACAAGGGGAGUGGAUGUCAGAACUUUGA